CCUUGACACCGUCAUGUGACUUCUCCAGGCACCGUAUCUACUGUAUAGACAACAGACCUUUUAUUUAACUAGGCAAGUCAGUUAAGAACACAUUCUUAUUUUCAAUGACGGCCUAGGAACAGUGGGUUAACUGCCUUGUUCAGGGGCAGAAUGACAGAUUUGUACCUUGUCAGCUCAGGGGUUUCAAUCUUGCAACCGCACAGUUAACUAGUCCAACGCUCUAACCAUUGCACUCCACGAGUAGCCUGCCUGUUACACGAAUGCAGUAGAAGCCAAGGUAGAUUAAAUACCGAACGGUUCCGUAUUUCACCGAAAUAAUAAACGUUUUGUUUUUGAAAUGAUAGUUUCCGGAUUCGAUCAUAUCAAUGACCAAAGGCUCGUAUUUCUGUGUGUUAUUAUGUUAUAAUUAAGUCUGACUUGAUAGAGCAGUCUGACUGAGCAGCAGCAGGCCUGUAAUCAUUCAUUCAAACAGCACUUUUGUGCGUUUUGCCAGCAGCUCUUCGCAAGCACAGCGCCGUUUAUGACUUCAAGCCUAUCAGCCUAAUGGCUGGUGUAACCAAUGUGAAAUGGCUAGCUAGUUAGCUGGGUGUGCGCUAAUACUGUUUCAAACGUCACACGCUUUUAGAUUUGGAGUAGUUAUUCCCCUUGCACUGCAAGGGCCGCGGAUUUUUUGGAGCAGUGGCUGUUGUCGAUGUGUUCCUGGUUCAAGCCCAGGUAGGAAGCUAUACUGUUACACUGGCAAUACUAUAGUGCCUAUAAGAACAUCCAAUAGUCAAAGGUAUAUGAAAUACAAAUGGUAUAGAGAGACAUAGUCCUAGAAAUACUAUAUUAACUACAACCUAAAACCUCUUACCUUGGAAUAUUGAAGUCUCAUGUUAAAAGGAACCACCAACUUUCAUAUGUUCCCAUGUUCUGAGCAAGGAACUUAAACAUUAGCUUUUUUACAUGGCACAUAUUUUACAUUGCACACAUUUUUACAUGGCACAUAUUACUUUCUUCUCCAACACUUUGUUUUUGCAUUAUUUAAACCAAAUUGAACAGGUUUCAUUAUUUAUUUGAGGCUAAAUUGAUUUUAUUGAUGUUUUAUAUUAAGUUAAAAUAAGUGUUAAUUCAGUAUUGUUAUAAUUGUCAUUAUUACAAAUUAAAUUAAAUACAUUUCUUUUUAAAUUAAAAAUCCACAGGCUUUUUUGGUCCUCCAAUAAUCGGUAUCGCCGUUGAAAAAUCAUGAUCGGUCGACCUCUACUCCAGGCACCGUAUCUAUAUUUGUAUAUAAAUAAUAACCUGCACAUUCUGUGCCAGUUUCCCUAACCUGCAUUAAAUCUGGUAUCCAGACGUUUAUGCAACAAACAACCAACACCGUUUCUUUCCCUCGGACAUCAUUGCACACCAUUUUGUUUUCCCAGAAUUCUGGAUGCUCCUCUCCUCCGUUUCAUCAACAACACAAAAACAAUAACAAAUGCGCUGGGGGUGAACAGUGCUGUUUCACCUGAUGCUGACUGAACAGUGGUGCGGAUUUCAGCUUUAAGCUUAGUCCUGGACUAAAAAGAAUCGCCAUUGAGCAUGCUAUUUAAUCCAGGUCCGAGACAAGUCAACUUAAUCUGGGUCUGUGAAACCUACUCACAAACUCAUUAUGCCUAUAUCGCUCUGCCAAGGUCUAGGUGUUUAAGUCGUCAGAACUCUGUAGACAUAUACCCAUUUCUUCUGGAUCUCUGCCUUACCUCCGCCCUUACCUCCAGCCUUACCUCCAGCUACGAAGGAGCGGACCAAGUGACAGUCCCCCUGAGUGUGGUCGGGGAUCACAGGACGACCACGGGUGAGACUGCAUCGUCCGUUGCCAUGAUGUGUGAGUUCAAUCAGGACCCGAAUGCAUCCAUAA
ensembl:lncRNA